UGAUUUAGGGGAGGUGUCUUUGUAUUUAAUAGCCCUGGGUGUAUUUUCCUUCAGUGAGUUUGUCUAAUUGCUUCUUGAAUCUGUGCAACCCUGGGGCAGCGUGUUCCACCCUUUAAAUAUGUGUCUGGUGAACACGGCGUCUGCCUGUCCUGAGCCUGCCUUCCCUUAGCUUCGUCUGAGCUCCUGCCCUAAGGGAGGCUGUGGUAACGCCACAUUCACCUUCGCCGUKAUUUUUAUAUCCUUUUCAUGGAGAAGGACAUGCUGCAGGUUUAUGUAAGCAGCUGGGAACAAGGAAAUGGAGCUGGGCUACCUUUCAGGAGCACAGUUUGGGCCUUUAUAAAGUCACAUUUCAUCGCCAUCACCUCCUUUCCUUUGUCUCUCCUUCUGCCGCUGUCCUGUCGCCAGUCCUUGCUUCAGCAAGGACUUCUCCAGCCCCUCCACCUCCCCAUCCAGCACCUGCUGUCCCCACCAGCCUCCACCAGCCCGGAAGGACGCGUGUGCGGAUGUCGGGCUGGAAGAGAUGGGGUGGCGAGGAAGAAGCUGGGGCUGGGAGGAACUCAGAUUUACAAGGCCAGCAGCAGCCAUCAGCCUGGGCUCUGCCCUGCUCCUUGCCUUGCCUAUAGCACUGGUUCUUUCCAUGACCGAGGCCUGUCUCCGGGGCUGGGGACAGGUACCCGUGGGGAGACGAAGAACAGGGAACAGAGUCAAGUCCACAGCCAUCAACGAAACUGCAGGAACACAAGAAAAGUAAUUAGUGACUUGGCACAGUGCUUGGGAAAGCCAAAGGAGGACGUCAGAGCAAGAAGGAGAGAGGGAUCAGAGAAUAAGCCGGGGAGCAGAGAUCAGAACAGGCGAAAACAGCAAGUAAAACAGAGGGACGAAACUGUGAGCAUCUGUCUGAAGGACAAAGAUGUCCCGGGUCAGGCAGCUCCUCUGCGACUCACYGAGCAACUACCCCCCUACCUCUGGGGAUCGAGGCUGUAACACGUAUGGCAUUAAAGGCUUCUUCARGGAUCUUAAAUCCCUUCCAAGCCUGACUCU
rnacentral:lncRNA from 1 species